CUCGCGAACCCGGUCAGGUCCGGAAGGAAGCAGCCGUAACGAG
rnacentral:SRP_RNA from 1 species